UGGGUUACGCUCUUAGCUCCAGCAAUGCCGCAAGACCUAUAUCUAUUUGUUGUGAAUAACGCGGCGGACGACAAUGGACUGCUUUUUUUAACGGAUACGUGCGGAACAGUUAGAGAGAGAAUUCUGUAUUGGACAAUCGUAACAGGUCCGAAGCGCACUUUUCCCCCUUCAGCGAAAGAAAAUGAUCUGGUCAAUGAAAUGGACAUGCCUCAUUAUUCAAUGAACACAAUCUCUCACCAAGGCAUCGUUUACAGACAGGAGUUUCUUCGCGCUACUCCAAAUUUAAAGGCGCUUGUCUUCCCCCCCCCCCNNNNNNNNNNNNNNNNNNNNNNNNNNNNNNNNNNNNNNNNNNNNNNNNNNNNNNNNNNNNNNAAAAAGAACAAUUGCGCUGGAAGUAAUGUGAUUUCUAAAUAAACGCCCGCCUGUCAAAAGCCGAGACGCAUUUACUUCCCCAAUGUAGCUCAAGGAGACAAUUAGCAAACAGAGGUGACACGGUAAACAGGUGCACCCAUUAUUUCUGGAGCUUGUGGCGAUAUAUCCCCAUCUCUGAGACUGAUGGUAGAUCAUGUGACAUGGAGGGUGAAGGAUCUGUCUGCAUCAGGGCUCGGCUGACGGGGUCUGCCAGCAGUUUGCAAUGUCCUCCUCACCAUCACUAUCAUUAUCAUCUCAAAAUAUGUACUCCCUCUCUUUACCGUCCCAAUGUACAGGUUAGAUCACGUCUGUCCUCUAUCUUUCUCACACACAUCUCUUUUCUCUUUCUCACUCUAUACAUCUCUUUUUCUUGUAUGCUCUCUCUUCUCCUUGCCCGCAAUCCCUUCCCUGGAAUUGUNNNNNNNNNNAAAAAGAACAAUUGCGCUGGAAGUAAUGUGAUUUCUAAAUAAACGCCCGCCUGUCAAAAGCCGAGACGCAUUUACUUCCCCAAUGUAGCUCAAGGAGACAAUUAGCAAACAGAGGUGACACGGUAAACAGGUGCACCCAUUAUUUCUGGAGCUUGUGGCGAUAUAUCCCCAUCUCUGAGACUGAUGGUAGAUCAUGUGACAUGGAGGGUGAAGGAUCUGUCUGCAUCAGGGCUCGGCUGACGGGGUCUGCCAGCAGUUUGCAAUGUCCUCCUCACCAUCACUAUCAUUAUCAUCUCAAAAUAUGUACUCCCUCUCUUUACCGUCCCAAUGUACAGGUUAGAUCACGUCUGUCCUCUAUCUUUCUCACACACAUCUCUUUUCUCUUUCUCACUCUAUACAUCUCUUUUUCUUGUAUGCUCUCUCUUCUCCUUGCCCGCAAUCCCUUCCCUGGAAUUGUUUUCUUUUAAUUCAUAGUAGACCCUCGUCCAGUGAGAGAGGUCAAGCCGGUUUGUAAAAAUGGAUUGCUUGCAAAGUGCUAAUCAAUGGAAACUUUUUUUUUCUUGAAGCUGGAAAAAUCUAGCUAUAACAUUUAUUGAAAAAAUAUUCCACUGUUUGAACUUGAAUUAUAUGACAGCUGUCUUAUAUAGCCCGCAGGACUCCGAAGUCAAAGUGUCAGACAGCCUUUAUACGCUAUACAAUACACUAAUGAUACUAUAUAUUUUAUCAUUUAAAAAUUUUGUUCGUUAUUUAUAUAAAUAUAUAUAUUUAUAUAUAUAUUUUUUUUUAAUACAGAGCAAUCCAAAAGUAUUUCAAUCUUAGAUUACGUUAAAUGCCAU
rnacentral:lncRNA from 13 species